CCUCCCUCCCACACCUCCCUGCAAGCUGAGGGAGCCGGCUCCGGCCUUGGCCAGCCCAGCAAGGGGCUCCCACAGUGCAGCGGUGGGCUGAAGUGCUCCUCAAGUGCCACCAAAGUGGGAGCCCCGGCAGAGGAGGCGCCGAGAGCGAGCGAGGGCUGUGACGACUGCCAGCACGCUGUCACCUCUCAAAAGCAAGAAAAUUCAAAAUUGGCCGGGCGCGGUGGCUCACGCGGGUAAUCCCGGCACUUUGAGAGUCUGAAGCCGGCGGAUCACUUGACGUCAGGCGUUCGAGACCAGCUUGGCCAACAUGGUGAAACCCCGUCUCUACUAAAAAUACAAAAAUUAGCCGGGCGUGGUGGUGCGCGCCUGUAAUCCCAGCUACCCGGGACGCUGAGGCAGGAGAAUUGCUUGAACCCGGGAGGCAGAAGCUGCAGUGAGCGGAGAUCGAGCCACAGCAUUCCAGCCUGGGCGACAGAGUGAGACUCGGAAAAAAAAAAAAAAGGAAAAAAAGAAGAAAGAAAGAAAGAAAAAAGAGAAAAGAAAAAGAAAGGAAAGAAAGAAAGAGAUCCAAAAUUAUAGAAAAACAUAAAGAAAAUAAAUACUUCCUAUAUUCCUCCUCCUCAGGGAAAACCACUGUGUUUACUUUAGUAGUUUUACUUUCUGUCAGCAUAUAGAAAUAUAAAACAUGUUUUGUAUAUUUAAUAUUGAACAGGAAAUAAUCCUAUUGUAUAUAUUAUUUUAAACUAGCAGCAAUAAUAGUUUGAGUAUUCUUUCAUAUACAUAAAUGUUCUUCAUUAUUUUUUAAUGUUGGGAUAGCAUUUCAUCAUGUAGGAGCAUUAUAUUUAUUUAACUAAAUCUUUGGUUUUGGACAAUUAGGUAGCUUCUGAUUUUUCACUACUAGAAAUAUCCCUUUGAUAAACAUUUUUGUGGUUAUGUCUUGCACAUCCAAGAUUAUUUCUUUAAAAUCUCCCUCCCUCCCCAGUAAGUAUUGUCAAGCUGCUUUCCAAAGGGUAAAGGAAACCAGUUUACACCAUCACCAGCAGUCGUUCUGGUCAUAUAUUUCCCAAUAUUUUUCCCUGAAAAAUCAUUUACAUUUUAAUUUCAGUUAUAAUACAUUUUCAUGUGCAAAAUCUAAUCAAAUUAUGAAAAUUGACAGCAAGCUUAAAAAUAUCAUUUCUAUAUUAGUAUCAUACAAUUUUUAAGUAGUUGAAUACUGACUAUAGCACCUAACAGUUCAAUGGCAUUUUAGCCUUUUUAAAAAGUUUUAUCCAAUCCCUACAAUUAUGUGAAAUGUGCAGCUGAUGUAUUCCCCUUUCCAGAGGAAGAAAUUGAAAUUAUGUUGAAAAAGCAACGCAAAACACGGAUAACUGAUAGUUUUAUUUUACACAUAUUUAUGUAACUAUCCAAGAUGAAUGUAGCCUACAGAGUUAAAAUUUUGAUAAUUAGCUAAAGGUUUGAAUACAGGAGUAUAUCUUUAAUAUGCUUCCAUAGCACCCUACGUUUUUCCUAUUAUAACAUUCAUCACACCAUGUCAAUUCAUCUUGUUGUUUGUUUUACAAAUAGACCACGAAUUCCACAAGGCCAGUUGCCAUGCGGAAUUUGCUGAGUAUUUUAACUCUGGUGUCCACCAUAGUAGUAGGUGCUUACUUAUAACUUGUGAAAUGAAAUUUUUAAAAGGCUUUCCAAAAACAAAUACAAAUAAGAUAUAUUACGUAGAAAUAGACAUGUCGUGUAGAAACGCGGCUUUAUGCCAAUACUGGAAGUUUGAAGACAUAGUGUUUCUAGUUCUAAUAAUCAUCAUGAGUAUUUAAUACAUGCCUAUGGUGUACUAGGGAGCCAGAUAAUGUUUUAAGUUUGUUUUCAUGUACUAACUAAUUUAACAUCUAACUAAUUUUAGCUGAAUUUUGAACGAGUUCUGAUAAAAUAGCUAGUCAGCCCGCGCGUGGCAGAGAUGAAACUCGGGCGGUCUGGCCCCCGUGCUUUGGGUCUCAGCAGCUCCACGCUCCACAUAGAUGUUUUGUAGGAUCCUUAAAACAGAAGUGCAGUAAUCUCGUAUAACCACUAGAUGGCACUGCAACUUUUGUAACAGGGGACUUAGCCGGGGGCAGGAGGGGUUCUUGAGACAAACCCAUUUUUUAUAUUUGUCAUUGGUCACUUGCAAGUAGAGUCAUACUUUAAAUAAUAACAUUAUUCCCUUUAAGAAUUGUAUAUUUUUUAUCUAUUUAAAGAAAACAGUUGUCCUUAUGAAUAAAAUGACUUCAAAUUAUGUGUAAAAAAUAACUCUGUUAUCCGUGUUUUGCGUCGCUUUUUCAACAUAAUUUCAACUUCUUCCUCUGGAAAGGGAAAUACAUCAGCUGCUCAUUUCACAUAAUUAUAGGGAUUCAAUAAAAUUAUUUGUAAAAAUGAUAAAAUUCAUUGAAUUGUUAGGUGAUACAGUCAGUAUUCAAUGACUUAAAAAUUGUGUCAUACUAAUAUAGAAAUAUUUUUAAGCUUGCUCUCAAUUUUCAUAAUUUGAUUAGAUUUAUGCACAUAAAAAUAUGUUAUAACUAAAAUAUUAAUCGCAAGACAUUGUUUUCUAAGAUGACUCGGGAGUAGAUUGUUGGUAAUGAUAGAAUAUUACCGCUAGGAGGCUGCUUGUUUCUUUUUUCCCACAGCUGUGGGAACUCAGGAGCACAGAGGUCAUUAUUUUUCACUAAGCAGUGUCUGAAAUCCACAUUUCUGUUUGCCGUUUGCCAAUAGUUUAGAGAUACCAUACACAUCAUACAUUUCCAACAAGCAGAGAAGAAUAUUGCAAAUUACAUUUAUAAAACAAUUUUGAAGGUAAUCAAAUGUAUUAGGCUAUUCUUGCAUUGCUAUAAAAAUAUCUGAGACUGGGUAAUUUAUAAAGAAAAAAGGCUUAAUUGGCUUACGGUUCUGCAGUUUUUACAAGCAUAAUGCUGACACUGCUCAGCUUCCGCGGAAGCUUAGGGAGCUUUUAUGUAUGUUGGAAGGUGAAGUGGAGUGGGAGCAGGCAUGUCACAUGGAGAAAGCAGGAAAGAGAGAGAGAAAGAGAGAGAGAGAGAGAGAAAGUGCUGCACACUUUGAAAAGACCAGAUCUCCUGAGAACUCACUCAGGUGCAAGGAGACCAUCAAGAGGAUGAUGCUAAACCAUUCAUGAGAGAUUCGCUCCCAUGAUGUAAUCACCUCCCACCAGGCCCCACCUCCAACAAAGGGGAUUACAAUGCGACAUGAGAUUUGGGCAGGGACACACAUCCAAACUACAUCAUUGAGUUUUUUGCUGAUUGAAAUAUCCCAUGAAGAUUAUGCCUCUUUUCUAUAUAUUGAAUUAUUUUACAUAAAUAACUAAAGUGUAUGUAGCACCUCAGAAUUGAACAAGAUACUUUCAGAGCAUUGACUAUGAGGAGUAAUUAUUACAGAGCAUCUGCUAUAUACAGAAAAAUGGAUAUGGAUACAUACACCCUU
rnacentral:lncRNA from 10 species